GAUGAACGCUGGCUGCGUGCUUAACACAUGCAAGUCGAACGAUGACGACCGGGCUUGCCUGGUCUGAUUAGUGGCGAACGGGUGAGUAACACGUGAGUAACCUGCCCCUCACUUCGGGAUAACCUCGGGAAAUCGUGGCUAAUACCGGAUAUGAACUUCUACCGCAUGGUGGUUGUUGGAAAGUUUUUCGGUGAGGGAUGGACUCGCGG
rnacentral:rRNA from 1 species